GAUGAACGCUGACAGAAUGCUUAACACAUGCAAGUCUUUGGCGAAGCUGUGCUUGCACAGCCUGGCCAAGGCGGACGGGUGAGUAACGCGUAAGGAACUUGCCCUGCAGUCAGGGAUAACAGACGGAAACGACUGAUAAGACCUGGUAAAGUCAGGCGGACUCAUGUCCAGCCUGAUGAAAAGAGAUGCUGCAGGAGAGCCUUGCGUCCUAUUAGCUUGUUGGUGGGGUAACGGCCCACCAAGGCGAUGAUAGGUAGCCGGCCUGAGAGGGUGGACGGCCACAAGGGGACUGAGAUACGGCCCUUACUCCUACGGGAGGCAGCAGUGGGGAAUAUUGGACAAUGGGGGCAACCCUGAUCCAGCAAUUCUGCGUGCACGAUGAAGGUUUUCGGAUUGUAAAGUGCUUUCAGCAGGGAAGAAAAAAAUGACGGUACCUGCAGAAGAAGCGACGGCUAAAUACGUGCCAGCAGCCGCGGUAAUACGUAUGUCGCAAGCGUUAUCCGGAAUUAUUGGGCAUAAAGGGCAUCUAGGCGGCCAGAUAAGUCUGGGGUGAAAACUUGCGGCUCAACCGCAAGCCUGCCCUGGAAACUAUGUGGCUAGAGUACUGGAGAGGUGGACGGAACUGCACGAGUAGAGGUGAAAUUCGUAGAUAUGUGCAGGAAUGCCGAUGAUGAAGAUAGUUCACUGGACGGUAACUGACGCUGAAGUGCGAAAGCUAGGGGAGCAAACAGG
rnacentral:rRNA from 1 species